ensembl:lncRNA
GGUUUGAAUGUGAGAGUAGUUUUUUUUUUUUUUUUGGUCUUUUUUUAUCUUUUCGGGGCUGCACCUGAGACAUAUGGAAGUUCCCAGGCUAGGGGUCCAAUGGGAGCGCCAGCUGCCAGCCUAGGCCACAGCCACAGUAACAAGGGAUCUGAGCUGCGUCUUCGACCUACACCACAGCUCAUGGCAAUCCUGGAUCCUUAACCCACUGAGCAGGGCCGGAGAUCGAACCCGGGUCUUCAUGGAUACUAGUUGGGUUUGUUACUGCUGAGCCACAUCAGGAACUCCUGAGAGCAGCUUUUUAAUUGAUAUCCAUGUAUCUAUUCAUCAGGGUUGUAAAUCCAAAAAGAUUUAUCUGGGCCCUUAACUUCCAUCUUCCCAGCAAGAGGCAUCAGAAUGGCACUGCCAGGGGGAAGUCUCCACGAAGAUUUCGUCAAUGAAAAGAGGAUAGAAAUUCCAUGGUUCUAGGGUUCUGGAGACUGAAAAAUCUGAAGAUGGACACUCUUUCCAGAAAUUACAUGGUUUCAGAUUUUUACAAGAAAAGAGACUUUAUUUGGAAUGAUUUGCCAAGAUAUUAUAAAUCAAGACACAUACAAAACAGACUUCAAGGAGCUACAGAAACUUACAGAAUUUCAGGAGCUAUGAAAAUAAACUACUGCCAAUGUCCCCAUAGGACAUAUAAAUUUAACUCCGGAGGAAAGAACAAAUGAAAUCAAUUCACUUUUCAAAACGUUACAAAUCUAGCUCAUAGACUGCAUAGCUACUUUUUUCUUUAAAAAUUUGAAUCAAGAUAAUACAUGGAGGGGAUAAAAAGCAAAACCUUUGGAAAACCUGGCAAUGAAAAGCUACAGCUGUGUCAUUUCCCCAUCUUGUGUUCCAAACCCUAAAGGUAACUACUUUUACCUGUUUUGUUUUGUUUUUAACUACCUCCUUAUGGCUAGAUAAUAUGCUUGAUAUCUGCUGUUCUGCCAUCAUAGCAAGGAUUUAGAUUAUGUCAACACUUUUAUGACACGCUUCCCAUUUCUUUCUAGUUAAACUACCAUCUCCCCCUGUGUUGUAUUGGUUAACAUUGUAACUUUGACAAGCACAUACUUAAGUCUCCUAUCUCUUGCUCAUUCAGCAUCUGACCUCCCCCUUGUUCCCCUAUUUUACAGAUGAGAAAAUGGAGGCUUAGGAAGAUCUGUGCUUGCUCAAGACCACACGGUUGGUAAGUGGAAUUGGGUCCAAUCCCAGGUCAGCCCCCACGCCUGGCUAUGUCCUGUGGUCCCAGAGACCCUUUUGCCUGGCACCUGUUCCCGAAGUGGGCUCACCUGCUAUUUUUACAUCUAUUACUCUGCAAGGAAUGCUGAAUCCCCAGAGACUUGGCUCCCUGGCUUGUUAAAAUACCACAUGAGUGUGGAGGAGGGGUGGUUACGGAGAAGAUUGCAGAGACCUGUGAUUCAGUCCUAGAGGUCUAGCGCCCUUUGAGUUCCCUCGUUCUCUUGCUGCAGGGAAGCAGGCUUAGAAGAGCUGGUCCAGGAUAUUUUACAGGAAUAGGGAUGAUGAGGCAGCAGCCAGCUCAGAGAUUCCCUGUUCAGCGCUGUUCUUCAACAGCGGCAAAAGAGAACAACAACAUUUGAGUGGCUAUUUGUUCAGCAUCCCACCCCAAAUCUGGGAACACGGGGUCUCAGUGGUGUCACCCUUAUU